rnacentral:tRNA from 1 species
CGGAAGGUUUAAUUAAAAGCUGCUAACUUUUAUAUAGCUAAAUGCUAC